UAGUGCGCUUGCUCCUAGCCGCACACGGCAAGAAGACUCUGGGACCUCAGCCCCCGGCCUGCACUGCGCGCGCAGGGGCACUCUGGGAGUUGUAGUCCCUUCGCCUUCCCCCGGAAAGUGGGAUUCUGUUGCGGAGAGGGAGCUCCAGGCGACUAACGGAAAGGAGUGAAGGUACUGGGAUUUGAACUCAGGGCCUCACACUUGCUAGUAUUCAGCUCCAUCCUGUGUACCUGCUGCAUCUGCUGUCUUUGUUGCUGAGAACACCAAGCAUGGCUGACGAUGGAAUCACUAUCCUGAAAACAAGAUUAUGAAACAAAAGCUUAUGAACUAUUUAGUGAAAUAUUAAGACUACAUAGGCCUUCUUCCUUCACCUGGCUCAUCCACUGCAGGAGACUGGAAGGACUUCUUUUGAGAUCUCCCUGCCACGUGAUCUUGAAUCCUUGUAACCUCAUACCCAGUCUUCUACUCACCUAUCUGAAGGAAGAAACUAACAGGCUUCCCUUGACUUUUAAUUCCUUUGGCUGGCCAGAGGAAGAAACUGUGGAUCAGAGUGUACCUGGUCCCAUUGACAUCUCUGGUAGAAGCCAGAGGCCCCGAAUCGGUAUGAAGAGCUAUAUCCAUCCACUCACCAUCAGGAAGAUACCUACUACCUACCGUCACUCCAGGGACAAGCUGCAUGCUUGUGCUUGAUCACCUUGUGCUCAGUGAGGCAUCUGGGCCACAGAAGAGCUUUUGUCUGUACAGAGCUAACCUGCUGAUGAGGGCAUCCAUGACAUUGAGCUGACUUAACCUGACAUCUGACUGUCAGUCAUGACCUCCUAGCAUAAGCUCUGGGCCUAUCAGAACGGCCUCAGGAGGAUGUGGAAGAUGAGCGAUCAGGA